CUACAAGCGCUCCAUCUCGCGGCCGGCUUCGUGCAUCUCCUAAAAGAAGGGGCGCGUGUCGAGUGACGCAGUACGUGCGUGUGUGCGUGCUGACUGUCAGGCAAGCGAAUUCUAAAUUCACUCCUCGAGGCUCGGAAUCUUCGACGCUUCGAGAUUCGGAGUCUUCGAGGCUCCGUGUGUUCGAAACCCAGACAAUCCAUUCUUUUUUCUUUGUUGUUUAUUCAUCUGAAAAAAUUCCAACACGUCCGUAGCAUAACUGGACACGUCUGAGAAUUAUUUCAGAUUUUUUUGUUACAAAAUGUAACCGUGAAAAAUAAGAAGAUUUUUAGGUUUGGUGCGUCAAUGCGAAAAAAAUCAAAAACUAUGUACGUCUCAUGUUGAAGUACGUAAAUGAAAGACGCGCUUCCAGCAGCGGCAACAGCGAAGGGGUGAUGACACGAGGU